CCAGACUCCUACGGGAGGCAGCAGUGGGGAAUAUUGGGCAAUGGGCGCAAGCCUGACCCAGCAACGCCGCGUGAAGGAAGAAGGCUUUCGGGUUGUAAACUUCUUUUCUGAGGGACGAUAGUGACGGUACCCCAGGAAUAAGCCACGGCUAACUACGUGCCAGCAGCCGCGGUAAUACGUAGGUGGCAAGCGUUAUCCGGAUUUACUGGGUGUAAAGGGCGUGUAGGCGGGAUGGUAAGUCAGAUGUGAAAACCACGGGCUCAACCUGUCGCCUGCAUUUGAAACUGUAGUUCUUGAGUACUGGAGAGGCAGACGGAAUUCCUAGUGUAGCGGUGAAAUGCGUAGAUAUUAGGAGGAACACCAGUGGCGAAGGCGGUCUGCUGGACAGCAACUGACGCUGAGGCGCGAAAGCGUGGGGAGCAAACAGGAUUAGAUACCCGUGUA
rnacentral:rRNA from 1 species